rnacentral:miRNA from 1 species
UGUUGGGGACAUUUUUAAAGC